rnacentral:rRNA from 1 species
AGAGUUUGAUCAUGGCUCAGAUUGAACGCCGGCGGUAUGCUUAACACAUGCAAGUCGAACGGUAACAGUCCCUCACCUAGAAAUUUCUUAAAAAGAGAUUUGUAGGUGAGGGAGCUGACGAGUGGCGGACGGGUGCGUAAUGUAUAGGAAUCUGCCUAGUAGUGGGGGACAACUCGGAGAAAUUCGAGCUAAUACCGCAUAAGCCCUACGGGGGAAAACGGGGGAUCUUCGGACCUCGUGCUAUUAGAUGAGCCUAUAUUAGAUUAGCUUGUUGGUGAGGUAAUGGCUCACCAAGGCGACGAUCUAUAGCUGGUCUGAGAGGAUGAUCAGCCACACUGGGACUGAGACACGGCCCAGACUCCUACGGGAGGCAGCAGUGGGGAAUAUUGGACAAUGGGCGAAAGCCUGAUCCAGCAAUACCGCGUGUGUGAAGAAGGCCUGAGGGUGUAAAGCACUUUCAAUUGGGAGGAAUACCUAAUAGUUAAUAGCUAUUAGAUUGAC